CCCAGACUCCUACGGGAGGCAGCAGUGGGGGAUAUUGCACAAUGGGGGGAACCCUGAUGCAGCGACGCCGCGUGGGUGAAGGAGCGUUUCGGCGCGUAAAGCCCUAUCGGCAGGGAAGAAGGAGGACGGUACCUGACUAAGAAGCCCCGGCUAACUACGUGCCAGCAGCCGCGGUAAUACGUAGGGGGCAAGCGUUAUCCGGAUUUACUGGGUGUAAAGGGGGCGCAGACGGCAGCGCAAGCCAGGAGUGAAAGCCCGGGGCCCAACCCCGGGACUGCUCUUGGAACUGCGCGGCUGGAGUGCAGGAGGGGCAGGCGGAAUUCCUGGUGUAGUGGUGAAAUGCGUAGAUAUCAGGAGGAACACCGGUGGCGAAGGCGGCCUGCUGGACUGCAACUGACGUUGAGGCCCGAAAGCGUGGGGAGCAAACAGGAUUAGAUACCCCAGUAGU
rnacentral:rRNA from 1 species